rnacentral:lncRNA from 1 species
GCCCACACCUUCAGGAAGUGGGGCGACUUACAGAAACGACGUGCCCCUCAGACCACACAGCAUAAGGCCAUGAGGCUGCUGGCCUGUCUUGAUAUCCGUAUACUCCUUUCGUAUCAGAUGUGAAAUCGACUGGCCAGAAUUAUGAAUGGGGAUUACCUGACGGUUGAGUUUAGAAGAAGAAAUCAGAGACACAUUUCUCCCUCCAUUAUUCUUGGGUGCAUGGAGCUCUCAGGGAUACGUGUUCCACACUACUUCUUAAGAGUCACCAGGACGAUGUACUGCUCAAUGUGGCUGGACAUCAUUCAGGAUGGAAACUAGGAUAUGGAAUGAAUUUUUAAUUUCGUUUUGUGACCGUGAUGAAAAGAAAAAGUGCAGAAUUACUGUCCUGCCAUAUAAGCUAAAAAGAAAUGGCUAAAAUAUAGGAACAUUCUAACAUUUUAACCAUGUUGGGCAACAGGCAGCAGAAAAAACAAAAACAAAAACAAAAACAAAACCCUGAUUUCUGAAAACAAAACAAAACAAACAAGGUGAGCCCCGUGAUCGUCCCAGCUUUCUGACUAGAGGAAAUGACAGAAUGAAGUGCCGUCAGGGGAAGCCAAGCAGAGAUCAGUUUUACUGAGUAGAAGAGGGAGAGAGAAGGGUAAGGAAAACUACAGCAGCUAGAAUACGCAGACCUUCUCAUGCAGGACAUGUGUAAGAGUCCU